GGGACAGAGAGGCCGGGAGAGAGAUGGAGAGGUUGUUAGAGAGCGAGAGAAGGAAGGAGAGAGAGAGAGAGUCAGAGAGAGUGAGAGGGACAGAGAGGUCAGGAGAGAGAUGGAGAGGUUGUUAGAGAGCGAGAGAGGGAGGGAGGGAGAGAGAGUCAGAGAGAUUGAGAGGGACAGAGGUCGGGAGAGAGAUGGAGAGGUUGUUAGAGAGCGAGAGAGGGAGAGAGAGAGAGUCAGAGAGAGUGAGAGGGACAGAGAGGUCGGGAGAGAGACGGAGAGGUUGUUAGAGCGCGAGGGAGGGAGCGAGAGAGAGUCAGAGAGAUUGAGAGGGACAGAGGUCGGGAGAGAGAUGGAGAGGUUGUUAGAGAGCGAGAGAGGGAGGGAGGGAGAGAGAGAGUGAGGGACAGAGAGAGAGACGGAGAGGUUGUUAGUGAGCGAGAGAGGGAGGGAGGGAGAGAGAGUCAGAGAGAGUGAGAGGUACAGAGAGGUCGGGAGAGAGACGGAGAGGUUGUUAGAGAGCGAGAGAGGGAGAGAGAGAGAGAGUGUCAGAGAGUGAGAGGGACAGAGAGUUCGGGAGAGAGAUGGAGAGGUUGUUAGAGAGCGAGAGAGGGAGGGAGAGAGAGAGAGUCAGAGAGUGAGAGGGACAGAGAGGUCGGGAGAGAGACGGAGAUAUUGUUAGUGAGCGAGAGAGGGAUGGAGAGAGAGAGAGUCAGAGAGAGUGAGAGGGACAGAGAGGUCGGGAGGGAGACGGAGAGGUUGUUAGAGAGCGAGAGAGGGAGAGAGAGUGUGAGGGACAGAGAGGUCGGGAGAGAGAUGGAGAGGUUGUUAGAGAGCGAGAGAGGGAGGGAGAGAGAGAGAGAGAGAGAGGGACAGAGAGGUCGGGAGAGAGACGGAGAGGUUGUUAGAGAGCGAGAGAGGGAGGGAGAGAGAGAGAGUCAGAGAAAAUGAGAGGGACAGAGAGGUCGGGAGAGAGAUGGAGAGGUUAUUAGAGAGCGAGAGAGGGAGGGAGAGAGAGAGAGUCAGAGAGAGUGAGAGGGACAGAGACGUCGGGAGAGAGAGAGAGAGUCAGAGAGAGUGAGAGGGACAGAGACGUCGGGAGAGAGACAGAGAUGUUAGAGAGCGAGAGAGGGAAGGAGAGAGAGAGAGAGUCAGAGAGUGAGAGGGACAGAGAGGUCGGGAGAGAGACGGAGAGGUUGUUAGUGAGCGAGAGAGAGAGAGAGUCAGAGAAAAUGAGAGGGACAGAGAGGUCGGGAGAGAGAUGGAGAGGUUAUUAGAGAGCGAGAGAGGGAGGGAGAGAGAGAGAGUCAGAGAGAGUGAGAGGGACAGAGACGUCGGGAGAGAGAGAGAGAGUCAGAGAGAGUGAGAGGGACAGAGACGUCGGGAGAGAGACAGAGAUGUUAGAGAGCGAGAGAGGGAAGGAGAGAGAGAAAGAGUCAGAGAGAGUGAGAGGAACAGAGAGGUCGGGAGAGAGACGGAGAGGUUGUUAGUGAGCGAGAGAGGGAGGGGGAGUGAGAGAGUCAGAGAGAGUGAGAGGGACAGAGGUCGGGAGAGAGACGGAGAGGUUGUUAGAGAGCGAGAGAGGGAAGGAGAGAGAGAAAGAGUCAGAGAGAGUGAGAGGGACAGAGAGGUCGGGAGUGAGACGGAGAUGUUGUUAGAGAGCGAGAGAGGGAGGGAGAGAGAGAGAGAGAUUCAGAGAGAGUGAGAGGGACAGAGGUCGGGAGAGAGACGGAGAUAUUGUUAGAGAGCAAGAGAGGGAGGGAGAGAGAGAGAGUCAGAGAGUGAGGGGGACAGAGAGGUCGGGAGAGAGAUGGUUGUUAGAGAGCGAGAGAGGGAGGGAGAGAGAGAGAGUCGGAGAGAGUGAGAGGAACAGAGAGGUCAGGAGAGAGACGGAGAGGUUGUUAGAGAGCGAGAGAGGGAGGGAGGGAGAGAGAGAGUCAGACAGAGUGAGAGGGACAGAGAGGUCAGGAGAGAGACGGAGAGGUUGUUAGAGAGCGAGAGAGGGAGGGAGGGAGAGAGAGAGUCAGACAGAGUGAGAGGGACAGAGAGGUCGGAGAGAGACGGAGAUGUUGUUAGAGAGCGAGAGAGGGAGGGAGAGAGAGAGAGAGAGUCAGAGGGAGUGAGAGUGACAGAGAGGUCGGGAGAGAGACGGAGAGGUUGUUAGAGAGCGAGGGAGGGAGAGAGAGAGUGUGAAGGACAGAGAGGUCGGGAGAGAGACGGAGAGGUUGUUACAGAGCGAGAGAGGGAAGGAGAGAGAGAGGGAGUCAGAGAGUGAGAGGGACAGAGGUCGGGAGAGAGAUGGAGAGGUUGUUAGAGAGCGAGAGAGGGAGGGAGGGAGAGAGUCAGAGAGAGUGAGAGGGACAGAGAGGUCGGGAGAGAGACGGUGAGGUUGU